GUGUGGUCAUAUUGGUUCGUAACAUGGAAUUGUAUUUCUUUUUGUUUGUUUUGUUUAAAGGGAUAAAGUACUGGUCAAGUGUGAACAAUUGCAGGCUCAGCCUAAAGCUUGUUAUUCUAAUCGAGCGCUUUUCUAUAACCAAGAGUAAUGUUUAUGGAAACUGCGUGUCCUGGUCAAAGAUAUAUCCAAACUGAGGAAUGCAGAUACUGUCUCUCGUUCGAUACGCUUUGUCCCAGCUGUCGGAUUUCAUUGGAUACUUGGAAAAAGUUUCUCUUCUGUUGUCAAGGGCAAAAUACACACGUUCUGACGACGACUGCAGUCUACGGGUCUACCGGAAACCACAUCCUUCAACCUAGAGACUGCGAAAAUAUGUACAAAAGGAGUUUGAAAAAUUCCUGCAACUAUGAAGAUAUUAACUUCCAAAAAUGUUCAUAUGGUUACAAGAAAACUAGAGCGUCAAGCUUCACAGGUGUGAGAAAGAGUAAUUCUGAAACAACAGGCUGGUGCUAAGACCUGGGAGCUAACUACGACUCACCUGUGCAAUGCUGCAGGAAACAACCUGCUCCGAGUUUCUGUGGAACAGAUGUAUAUCUUCAGAUAUUAUAUACAGUUAUUGGGUAUACAGUAUAAUAAAAGAGAAAAACAAAGAUGCUGACAUUUAAAGUGUCCUAGCCCAAAUAUCUAUAUGGUACUUUUAAAGCCUCAUUUCUAUUUCAGUUUCCUCAUGUUCCUUUUUAUUUGAAGUAAAUGCAGUGUUUUCCUUUAUUUACUGUGAUGUGUUUAAUACGUGUUUUGGUGGCAGCUUCCUUCAUAAUGACUUUUUUCAACAUUCAAGAUAAUCUCCACAGAGAUACAGAAAUGUUGCUCUAACAUGGUACCUCUUGUAUUAUGACUUGUCACAUGCUCCUAACUCCUGAUUUUUGGUUAUUUUCUAAUUUCUACAGUGUAACACUUGUCAGCUAAACUCCUGAGCUCUUGUUGCAUUCUUUCAUUGAAGCUAUCAAUGUGAUGAUGUGAUUCCUGGAGCUACACAAAAAUAAAUGAACAAGCAAGACAACUGUUUUCAUUGCAUUCUGUAACUGGACUACUUUGAAUGCAUUUGCACCACACUCUGCCCUCCUAUCAGUCAUGUAAAUUGGUGCAAGUUGGAAAUUCAGUUAAUGAAAGGAGUUGUAAUAGGAGUGUAAAUCAGAAAGGACCCCCCCACACACACAAAAAAAAUUGAUACAGUUGAGAAUUCAGGCAAAAGUAGACUGGCAGGCGAAAAAGAAAAAAGGCGGCGCCUUGUGUGGCAGCAGCUGCUUUGGCUCGUCACAUAAAUGUGUAUUUGUGUAAUUCUGCAUCUAUUAUUGUGUUCGUCAUCUGUGUCUAUAGAAUUUUGUGCAUUAUUGUCAUGUUAAAUGUAAUCUAUGCUUUGUAUGCACAUUAAGCUCGAAGAAAUGUAAUUUCACUUGGUUCGCACUUGUGUGAAUCAAAGUGACAAUAAAGUUUACUUUGACUUUUGA